AACGAACGCUGGCGGCGUGCUUAACACAUGCAAGUCGAACGCGAACGGUUUCUUCGGAAACUUAGUAGAGUGGCGCACGGGUGAGUAACGCGUAAGUAAUCUACCCUGAUAUCUGGGAUAACAAUUGGAAACGAUUGCUAAUACCGGAUACGUUGAUUUAUCAAGAAAGAUGGCCUCUUCAUGAAAGCUAUUGUAUCAGGAGGAGCUUGCGUACCAUUAGCUAGUUGGUGGGGUAAUGGCCUACCAAGGUGACGAUGGUUAGCGGGUCUGAGAGGAUGAUCCGCCACACUGGAACUGAAACACGGACCAG
rnacentral:rRNA from 1 species